AUUGAACGCUGGCGGCAGGCCUAACACAUGCAAGUCGAGCGAGUGGCGGACGGGUGAGUAAUGUCUGGGGAUCUGCCCGAUAGAGGGGGAUAACUACUGGAAACGGUGGCUAAUACCGCAUACUAUCGGAUGAACCCAUAUGGGAUUAGCUAGUAGGUGGGGUAAAGGCUCACCUAGGAGACGAUCUCUGGCUGGUCUGAGAGGAUGAUCAGCCACACUGGAACGGAGACACGGCCCAGACUCCAACGGGAGGCAGCAGUGGGGAAUAUUGCACAAUGGGCGCAAGCCGGAUGCAGCCAUGCCGAGGGGAUGAAGAAGGCUUUAGGGUUGUAAAGUACUUUCAGCGGGGAGGCGUUACCCGCAGAAGAAGCACCGGCUAACUCCGUGCCAGCAGCCGCGGUAAUUC
rnacentral:rRNA from 1 species